UCCUCGUUUAAGCGAGGCAGUCUGUCCAGAGUGCUCCCGAGUCUUUCAACCAGGAUAGCAACAGGACACAAGGGUUGCGCUCGUUGCGGGACUUAACCCAACAUCUCACGACACGAGCUGACGACAGCCAUGCAGCACCUGUGCAAGCUCCCCUUGCGGGGUCGUCCCACUUUCAUGGUCCUACCACUUGCAUGUCAAGGCCAGGUAAGGUUCUUCGCGUUGCAUCGAAUUAAGCCACAUACUCCACCGCUUGUGCAGGCCCCCGUCAAUUUCUUUGAGUUUUAAUCUUGCGACCGUACUUCCCAGGCGGCACGUUUAUCGCGUUAGCUUCGCCACAAAAGGGGUCGAAUCCUUUUACAGCAAACGUGCACCGUUUACGGCUAGGACUAC
rnacentral:misc_RNA from 1 species